GCCCGAGUGGCGAAAUGGCAGACGCAGUAGACUCAAAAUCUACCGUCCUUACGGGCGUGCCGGUUCGAGUCCGGCCUCGGGCACCA
rnacentral:tRNA from 1 species